rnacentral:rRNA from 1 species
CGUAGGUGGCAAGCGUUGUCCGGUAUUUAUUGGGUUUAAAGGGUGCGUAGGUGGUCUAUUAAGUCAGUGCUGAAAUAUCCCGGCUUAACCGGGAGGGUGGCAUUGAUACUGAUGGACUUGAGUAAAGUUGAGGUUGGCGGAAUUGACGGUGUAGCGGUGAAAUGCUUAGAUAUCGUCAAGAACACCUAUUGCGAAGGCAGCUAACUAAGCUUUAACUGACACUGAGGCACGAAAGUGUGGGGAUCAAACAGGAUUAGAUACCCUGGUAGUCCACACUGUAAACGUUGAUUACUCGCUGUUGGCGAUACACAGCCAGCGGCUUAGCGAAAGCGAUAAGUAAUCCACCUGGGGAGUACGCCGGCAACGGUG